rnacentral:rRNA from 1 species
CCUACGGGGCGCAGCAGUGAGGAAUAUUGGUCAAUGGGCUUACGCCUGAACCAGCCAAGUCGCGUGAGGGAAGACUGCCCUAUGGGUUGUAAACCUCUUUUGUCAGGGAGCAACGCCGGCUACGUGUAGCCGGACUGAGAGUACCCGUAGAACAAGCAUCGGCUAACUCCGUGCCAGCAGCCGCGGUAAUACGGAGGAUGCGAGCGUUAUCCGGAUUUAUUGGGUUUAAAGGGUGCGCAGGCGGCACGGCAAGCCGGCGGUCAAAUCGCGGGGCUCAACCCCGCCCAGCCGUCGGAACUGCCGGG